rnacentral:rRNA from 1 species
CCUACGGGAGGCAGCAGUGGGGAAUAUUGGACAAUGGGCGAAAGCCUGAUCCAGCAAUGCCGCGUGAGUGAUGAAGGCCUUAGGGUUGUAAAGCUCUUUUACCAGGGAUGAUAAUGACAGUACCUGGAGAAUAAGCUCCGGCUAACUCCGUGCCAGCAGCCGCGGUAAUACGGAGGGAGCUAGCGUUGUUCGGAAUUACUGGGCGUAAAGCGUACGUAGGCGGUUAUUCAAGUCAGAGGUGAAAGCCUGGAGCUCAACUCCAGAACUGCCUUUGAAACUAGAUAGCUAGAAUCUUGGAGAGGUGAGUGGAAUUCCGAGUGUAGAGGUGAAAUUCGUAGAUAUUCGGAAGAACACCAGUGGCGAAGGCGACUCACUGGACAAGUAUUGACGCUGAGGUACGAAAGCGUGGGGAGCAAACAGGAUUAGAUACCCUGGUAGUCCACGCCGUAAACGAUGAUAACUAGCUGUUCGGGCUCUACGAGCUUGAGUGGCGCAGCUAACGCAUUAAGUUAUCCGCCUGGGGAGUACGGUCGCAAGNUUAAAACUCAAAGGAAUUGACGGCUGAGACGUGCGAGGACGACGACGAGGGAGGAGG